AUAUUUACCUUGAAAAGAAAACUGACGAAGGUGUUUUUCCCAGGGUGAGGCUUAUCCAUUGCACUCCGGAUGUGCUGACCCCUGUAAUUUCUCCAAAUGUGGGAAACUCGACUGCACAACUUGUGGUAGUGGGGGACUGCGUUCCCGCUCUCCCCUG
ensembl:snRNA U1 U1 spliceosomal RNA